GCAAAUCAGCCGAUAUGCAUGGCCCGAAGCCAAAUUGGUAUAACUCGCACCUGAACUGCUAAUAUCAUGGCCCGAAGCCAAAUCACACUACAGGAAAAUAGACUUUUAGCGGCGCUUUUAAGCAUCGCUAAAACUAUUUGCGGCGUUUUCACAAGUGUCACAAAAAAUGCCGCUACAGCAAACGCCGCAAAUUUAUUUAAAAAACAUGCCACAAAAGAUCAUGACUUUUGUGACAGCCCUAAAUUGACCUUAGUCGGAAAGUGGUUUCCGG
rnacentral:lncRNA from 1 species